CCUGCCAGAGGCACUGCAGGGUGUAGUCACUUUCAGCACUCCUGUCUGACAACUCCCAGACUUUUCCUGCUUUAAUCUCUUCAAUGCCCAACUCAGAGAUAAAUCUUCCUAAAAUAACAUUCUCACCAUGUUGCUUUCCUGGUCAAGAACCUACAGGCUCUCCUCAUAGAUUACUGCAUCAAGAUCCCAAUACUCAGCUGGGCAUGAUGGCUCAUGCCUGUAAUCCUAGCACUGUGACAGGUCGAGGUGGGUGCAUAGCUUGAGCCCAGGGAGUUCAAGAACAGUCUGGGCAACAUGGCAAAACCCCAUCUCUACCAAAAAAAAAAAAAAAAGGAAAAUUGGCCAGGCAUGGUGGUGCAUGCCUGUAGUUCAGCUACUUGGAGGCUGAGGCAGGAGGAUCACUUGAGCCCAGGAGGUUGAGGUUGCAGUGAGCUGAAAUUGCACCACUACACUCCAGCCCAAGUGAUAGAGUGAAAGACUCUGUCAAACAAACAAACAAACAAACAAAAAACAAAAACACUCAAAUUCUGUACUUGAAAUUCACGGUUCUGGCA
rnacentral:lncRNA from 1 species